AGAAUUUGCAGAGGAGAAUGAAGGAGAGGUUAAGAGUUAGGAUAAGCAAUGGCACAGUAACAAAAAGGAAAGAUGGAAAGAUAGUGAGAAAUGAAAAAACUACUACAUGUUAAAAGAAAAGUUAUCCUACCAAAUGUCUUGUUAUUGCGCGACAUUCCAACACCACGCACCUUGCUGUUCAUCUUUUGUUUAGUUUGAUAAAGCAGAGUAAUAAUAUAGUCCUUUCAAAUGUAGCUAACUCAAUAGUAUAGUGAGUAUGAAUGAUGUGAUGGUAGGGGUGGGGUAGGAUUUAUAUCAUAGUGUGAUC